GAUGAACGCUGGCGGCGUGCCUAAUACAUGCAAGUAGAACGCUGAAGGAGGAGCUUGCUCUUCUGGAUGAGUUGCGAACGGGUGAGUAACGCGUAGGUAACCUGCCUGGUAGCGGGGGAUAACUAUUGGAAACGAUAGCUAAUACCGCAUGACAACAGUUAUUGCAUGAUAACUGUUUAAAAGGGGCAACUGCUCCACUACCAGAUGGACCUGCGUUGUAUUAGCUAGUUGGUGAGGUAACGGCUAACCAAGGCGACGAUACAUAGCCGACCUGAGAGGGUGAUCGGCCACACUGGGACUGAGACACGGCCCAGACUCCUACGGGAGGCAGCAGUAGGGAAUCUUCGGCAAUGGACGGAAGUCUGACCGAGCAACGCCGCGUGAGUGAAGAAGGUUUUCGGAUCGUAAAGCUCUGUUGUAAGAGAAGAACGAGUGUGAGAGUGGAAAGUUCACACUGUGACGGUAUCUUACCAGAAAGGGACGGCUAACUACGUG
rnacentral:rRNA from 1 species